rnacentral:siRNA from 1 species
GGAUGUGGUGUACAGAUACAUCCG